CGAGCCGCUAGGCUCAGAACCGGCGACUCGCAGGAGUCCUGGGUCACCUCGGUCUCGAUACAUUGCUAAGUUGUCUAGGCUGGGCUGGGACUUAUGAUCCUCCCACCUCAGCCUCCAGAGUACUGAGAUGACAGGUGUGCGCCACCACGCCAGCUCCUGAAUUAUCAUCUGAUUCAUGCUGCGGCUCAAACUGAACUUCCUGCAUGUGGGCCGGUUGGUUUCUCCAGCCCUUGGAGCCUGAUGUUGCCAGGACGACCGCAGCAGAAGCAGUCCCGGCAGUGGGUGACCAGUGACGGAUGUGGGAAGGGUUUGUCCCCCGGAAAUGUGCUGGGGGAGCAGCGCUCGACUCAGGGGUUUCACUAAGUUGCCCUGACUGGCCUCAAACUUGAGAUCCUCCUGCCUCAGCCUCCCACCAUAACUGGGAUUACUGACAUGCACCACUGCACCCAGUGGGGAGUCGGCCCUGUCCCCCUGUCCUCCCCCAGCAUGGGCUCCCUGUGUCCUGUGCUUGCCGGGCAGGCGCCUGUGUCCCGAUGACCGUCCUGGCGGCUGUCCUGCCCUGCCACCCCCACCCCCCCGACGGCUGGGACCUGAAGCCCACGGAGCUGACUGUGAACCUGGUGUGGCAGAGACACGGACAGAGGGAAGGACAGGGGCAGCAGGCCACCCAGCUGUGCCCCAGCCGGGACACCAAAGAGGAGCGGGACACAGGCUGGGGAGCCACCAUGCCAGCACCAUCUCGACAAGAAGCCUGUGUGGCCUGGUCCUGUCCUGGGCUCCGAGUGGCACGGGGGACUGGGACUGGACCCUCCCAGACCAGGGGCCACACCCGUGUCGCAAGGAGCUGCACUGGCCCUGCAUGCUCUGGGACCUGCCUUGCAUGGGCCAUGGGGCCCGCUGGGUGACGUCAGUGGGACAGAGGCCACUUCCUGUGACUGCUGGCAGAGCCGCCCGACGAUGAUGUCCGGCAUCACCUCCCAGGAUGGGGGUCUGUAUUCAGAGCCCUCGAAUUUAACAAGAGC
ensembl:lncRNA